CCUACGGGAGGCAGCAGUGGGGAAUCUUGCGCAAUGGGCGAAAGCCUGACGCAGCCAUGCCGCGUGAAUGAUGAAGGUCUUAGGAUUGUAAAAUUCUUUCACCGGGGACGAUAAUGACGGUACCCGGAGAAGAAGCCCCGGCUAACUUCGUGCCAGCAGCCGCGGUAAUACGAAGGGGGCUAGCGUUGCUCGGAAUUACUGGGCGUAAAGGGAGCGUAGGCGGAUAGUUUAGUCAGAGGUGAAAGCCCAGGGCUCAACCUUGGAAUUGCCUUUGAUACUGGCUAUCUUGAGUAUGGGAGAGGUAUGCGGAACUCCGAGUGUAGAGGUGAAAUUCGUAGAUAUUCGGAAGAACACCAGUGGCGAAGGCGGCAUACUGGCCCAUUACUGACGCUGAGGCUCGAAAGCGUGGGGAGCAAACAGGAUUAGAUACCCUGGUAGUCCACGCUGUAAACGAUGAGUGCUAGUUGUCGGCAUGCAUGCAUGUCGGUGACGCAGCUAACGCAUUAAGCACUCCGCCUGGGGAGUACGGUCGCAAGAUUAAAACUCAAAGGAAUUGACGG
rnacentral:rRNA from 1 species